ACGGGGUGCAGCAGGCGCGAAACCUUCACAAUGCACGAAAGUGUGAUGAGGGUACUCCGAGUGCGCAUACAUUGUAUGUGCUUUUCUGCAGCGUAAAUAGUUGCAGGAAUAAGGGCUGGGCAAGACCGGUGCCAGCCGCCGCGGUAACACCGGCAGCCCUAGUGGUGGCCGCUUUUAUUGGGCCUAAAGCGUCCGUAGCCGGACAGGCGAGUCUUUGGGUAAAUCCUACGUCUUAAGCGUGGGAAUUCUAAAGAUACUACCUGUCUUGAGGCCGGGAGAGGCUGGAGGUACUCCUGGGGUAGGGGUAAAAUCCUAUAAUCCUGGGGGGACCACCGAUGGCGAAGGCAUCCAGCUGGAACGGGCCUGACGGUGAGGGACGAAACCCAGGGGAGCGAGCCGGAUUAGAUACCCGUGUAGUCC
rnacentral:rRNA from 1 species